AACCGGGACACAGGUGCUGCAUGGCUGUCGUCAGCUCGUGUCGUGAGAUGUUGGGUUAAGUCCCGCAACGAGCGCAACCCUUGCCAUUAGUUGCUACGAAAGGGCACUCUAAUGAGACUGCCGGUGACAACCGGAGGAAGUGGGGAUGACGUCAAGUCCUCAUGGCCCUUAUGGGUAGGACUUCACACGUCAUACAAUGGUCGGUACAGAGGGUUGCCAAGCCGCGAGGCGGAGCCAAUCCCACAAAGCCGAUCGUAGUCCGGAUUGUUCUCUGCAACUCGAGAGCAUGAAGUCGGAAUCGCUAGUAAUCGCAGGUCAGCAUACUGCGGUGAAUACGUUCCCGGGUCUU
rnacentral:rRNA from 1 species